UACGUAGGGUCCGAGCGUUUGUCCGGAAUUACUGGGCGUAAAGAGCUCGUAGGUGGUUUGUCGCGUUGUUCGUGAAAACUCACAGCUUAACUGUGGGCGUGCGGGCGAUACGGGCAGACUUGAGUACUGCAGGGGAGACUGGAAUUCCUGGUGUAGCGGUGGAAUGCGCAGAUAUCAGGAGGAACACCGGUGGCGAAGGCGGGUCUCUGGGCAGUAACUGACGCUGGAGGAGCGGAAAGCGUGGGGAGCGAAACAGGA
rnacentral:rRNA from 1 species